GAGCAUGGUGUAGUGGUUUGAGUGUUGGACUAUGAUUCUGGAGACCAGGGUUCGAUUCCCAGCUUGGUCA
rnacentral:tRNA from 1 species